UACGGGGGGGGGCAAGCGUUGUUCGGAAUUACUGGGCGUAAAGGGCUCGUAGGCGGCCCUCUCAGUCGGAUGUGAAAUCCCCAGGCUUAACCUGGGAACGGCUUCCGAUACUGGAGGGCUUGAAUUCGGGAGAGGGAUGCAGAAUUCCAGGUGUAGCGGUGAAAUGCGUAGAUAUCUGGAGGAACACCGGUGGCGAAGGCGGCGUCCUGGACCAACACUGACACUGAAAAGCGAAAGCCAGGGGAGCAAACGGG
rnacentral:rRNA from 1 species